rnacentral:SRP_RNA from 2 species
GCCGGGCAUGAUGGCUCAUGCCUGUAAUCCCAGCACUUUGGGAGGCUGAGGUGGGUAGAUCACCUGAGGUCAGGAGUUUGAGACCAGCCUGACCAACAUGGAGAAAUCCCAUCUCUA